GCGGAAGUGGCGGAAUGGAAUACGCGCUGGAUUCAGGUUCCAGUGGGGAAACCCACGAGGGUUCAAAUCCCUCCUUCCGCACCA
rnacentral:tRNA from 1 species